rnacentral:lncRNA from 1 species
UUAUAAUAAGUCAUUUAAAGCCAUUAAUUAGAAAAAAUCCCAUAAUAUAAGUUAAAAUAAACAGUGCGGAAACAUAACAUAACUCGACAUCGGGAUGUCACUAGUCAUGGGCAACUACAACUCAUCUUGGAAUAAGAAAGGACAACAUAGUCUGAAAAACAAAUGCUAAUACAAAGCUGAAUAAGAUAGGAAGGAGAAGCACUGGGUUGCGAACGCCAAACAGCUACCUAGUCAACUCCGGAGACCUACUGGAAGGCUGAUCAGCAUCGCGACCCUAGACUCCUAGAUCUGCACACAAGGUGCAGGGAGUAAUGUGAGUAUGCCAACUCAGUAAGUAAUAAAAGUAAAGGCAGCUGAGCAGUAAGAAAAUAUGUAAACCACGUCAUAACGCUACAGCAAAACAGUAUAAGUCCUAAACAAUGCAGUCAAGCAAUAAAACUCGUAAAACAACUCGGUUCAGUGAAACCUUUUAAAACAUCUUUCAAGAGUUUUAAACGAGUGAUGAAAACAGUGAGUAAAAGGAUAAAAAUGUAAACAGCCCCUCGGGCAAAACAUGUACCAUAACCGUCCCUCGGGCAAAAUACUCACAAAACCAACCCCUCGGGCUACCUUACAGUCACUCGUAAUCAACCCCUCGGGCAACAACAUGAAACAACAACAGUCCCUCGGGCAAUAUCACAUCUCACACUGGGUACCCACGCUCACUAGGGAUGUUCAGAUUCCGGAGGGGCUCCUACAACCCAAGUGCUAUCAUAAGCCAUCUCGUGGCAUAACAAAUCAGGCCAUCGGCCUCUCAUAUAUCAUAAAUCAAUACACAUGCUGCGAUACGCAACCCGAUCCCAUGAUAUCCUCAAAAUACAGGCAUUUGGCCUCACUCAGUCAGAAAUCUCUCAAGCCACUCGGGCCACAAUAAAACAGAUGCUCAGCUCAAAAUAUCAUUUAAAAAUAUCAAAACGAAGUAAAUACGACUGAGUUAUGAAAAUAGUAGAAUACAACAUGACUGAGUAUAGAUNNNNNNNNNNNNNNNNNNNNNNNNNUUAUACCCUCAGGACAACAUUUACAAUCAUUACUUACCUUAAUCCGGUCCAAACUCUAGCCCGCGAUGCCUUUGCCUAUUGACUCGGCCUCUGAAUGCUCCAAAUCUAACCAAAAACAUAUUCAUAUCGUCAAAAUAUGCUAAGCGAACAAAGCCAACUCGAAAAUAACUAAUCUACAUAAAAAAAAUCCCGAAAUUAACCAAAUCUGACCCCCGGGCCCACGUCUCGAAUUCUACUAAAAAUACUAAACUAGAAUCCUUACACUCUCACGAGUUCAUACAUACCAAAUACAUCAAAAUAUGACCACAAACGACCCCUCAAAUCCCUAAAUCAAAGUCUCCAAUUUCAAACACUAAACCCCUAAUUUUUAAACCACUAAUUUCCGUAGAUUCCAUGUCUAAUCAGUGAAUAACACCAUAGAAACGAGUUUUAUUUCCAAGAAUCUUACCUCCACGAAGUUCCGUUGAAUUCCCUCUUCAAAAUCUCCUAAAAAGCUCCCAAUCCAACUUAAAAAUGGUGAAACAAAGCUGAAAAUCGCGAAGGAAACCUUAUAAAGGCUCUGGCCUAGGGAUUCCGCACCUGCGGUCUCAAACACGCACCUGCGGUCCAACGGGUCGCACCUGCGGAAGUCACUUAUCCGCCCAAAACCGCAUUUGCGGUCAAAUACCCACACAUGCGCCAUCGCAGGUGCACUCAGCUCUCUGCUUCUGCGGCUCCUACCCUUCACACUCUUGGUCGCAUCUGCGGCCCUUACUACGCUUCUGCGUUGUCGCACCUGCGGUCCCUAAUCUGCAGGUGCGGAAACAACAGGAGCAGAGAAUUCUACAGCUACUCCAAAAAUCCAAACUCUCUAUCAACCAUCCAAAUCCAUCCCGAGGCCCUCAAAACCUCAACCAAACAUGCCAACAAGUCGCACAACACUAUAAAAACUUGUUCCAACCCUUGGAACACUCAAAACAACGCCGGAACACCAAAUCACCCUCGGAUUCAAGCCUAUGAAUUCCAAAACUUCUAAAUUCUGCUUUCGAUCAAAAAGUCUAUCAAACCUCGUCCGAAUGACCUGAAAUUUUGCACACACGUCACAAAUGACAUCACGGGCCUACUCUAAUUUCCGGAAUUCCAUUCUGACCCUUAUAUCAAAAUCUCCACUACCAACUGAAAACGCCAAAAUUCCAAUUUCGCCAAUUCAAGCCUAAAUCUACCCCGGACCUCCAAAACCCAUUCCGAUCACGCUCCUAAGUCCCAAAUCACCUCCCGAAGUUAUUCGAAUCAUAAAAACCAAAUUCCGAGAUCGUUUACUCACAAGUUAACUUCCGGUUUACUUUUCCAACAAAAAGGCUAACUUAAGAGACUUAGUGUAUCAUUUAUCUACUAAACCACACCAAACCCAAACUAACCAACAUGAUGCGAUGAAAUACAGCUGAACAAGAUAUACAGAAGCAGAAAUGGGUGAAACGGAACGGUAACUCAUGAAACGAUCGGUCGGACUUAUUAUCUUGAUUUACAUUAAAGUUUCUUUUCUCUUUGCUUUGCUUUAGGGAUAUAAGAAUUGUACAUUAAAAAACAUUUUAAGGCAACAUACAUUUUUAAAACAAAAUUACAAAGUACAAAUUAUAAAUUACAAUUCACAGAAUAGAUUGAAACAAUUGUUUACUAUAGAAAAUAUAAUUACAAUUUACAGAAUAGAUUGAAACAAUUAUUUACUAUAGAAAAUAUUGUCACACCUCCUUUUUUACCUACACCCCCAGAAGGUGUAUAAGUGAGUUUUUUUCAACUUAAAGUGACAAUCGAAACGGAAUUAUUUAUUAAAAAUUCAGAGUCGCCACUUGGGAUAAUUUAUGGUGUCCCAAGUCACCGGUUUAAAAUCCCGAAUCGAGGAAAGAUUGACUCUGUAUUACAAUCCGCGAACCAAAAAUCCGAGUAAGGAAUUCUGUUAAUCCGGAAGAAGGUGUUAGGCAUUCCCGAGUUCCAUGGUUCUAGCACGGUCGCUCAACUGUUAUUAUUGGCCUACUUACUUGAUUUUAAUACAUGUUUUAGCCUAUGGUUCAAUUUCAAACUUUAUAACCACUUUUAAUUAUUUUUAAGGAAAAAUUGACGUCAUCUAAAACACGUCUUGAACCACGUCACAUAAAUGCACCCGUGAUCCACGACAUAUUUUAUCUAACGUUGUUGAGAUUUGGAUUUGGGUCACAUAAAUGCACACCUGAAUUUGAAAAUUAGGCAUCGUAACUAUGUCACUAGAACCGUACCCAUAAUCACGAUGGUUUAUUUUAUUAACAAAAUUAAAUUAUAGCUGAGUCACAUAAAUGUACCCUGGGUUUUUAGAAAUUAAGUGUCAUGACCACGUCACAGGAACCAUACCCGUAGCUAUGACAAUUUAUUAUUAAUCGCACCUAAAACAAACUAAUGAAGAGGCACAUCGCGAUUGGAUACAUCUCUCGUCGACCAAUUUCAACCGAAAUAGCAUCAGCCUUAGCAAACAAGAAUAAGCAAAAACAAAACGAAAACAACUUCCUAUAAACAAGCCAACCGUACAUAUGGAAAUUAAAUCUAUUAACUAUGGUAUCUCAUUUACACAGACAAGUAAUACACUAAAUGCUAUAAUUAUGUUUAGUCUUAGAAAAUAUAGUCCAUAAGCUAUUAACUAUACAUUCUCUUCUGAAAAAAUUGAUUUAUUGUGGUUAAGCAAAUCCUUAAACAAAUUUAUAAGCCAUGUCCAGUAUUUGCACUCUCCAUUAGUGAUGUUAAUAAUUUUAUUUCUUUCUUCAGAGCAAAGUGUCGAAACAGAGCAUGUCAAAGAAAAUUAGGUACUUGUCAAAUUUUCCCAAUUUCACAACUAGACUAGUUCAGUCAAAUACGCCAAACAAAUGGAAAAUCAGUAAAAUUCACGAGAAAAUUGCAUCACAGACUAGUAUAUAAACUAGCUCACAAACACCUUCCGUUAAUGAAAUAAAUAGGAGUAAAAAGAUGAACCUGUCAAAACUUUCAAUUAAAUCUUUGGUGAAUUACAUCAGUUAAAAUAAGCGACGACGGCAAAAUACGACCGGAAAACUCGAAUAGCAAUUCCACAAAAUCAAACACCCUCCACGGCUUUCAAAUCGAUACCCAUAGUUGGACGGGUCUGGACUACGCUGAACGAGUGAUGGAGAAAUGACUGCGUUUGUCUAUCUCGGAAAGGACCGAAAGUGAGAGUAACAAAUUGGACUUGAAACUUCUCAGAGCUUACAACAAAGAAGAAAAGGAUGGUGGGUUUUUGCUGUUUCCAAAUUCCGAUUUUGGACUUAAGCACUUCGAAGCCAAUUGAGCAAAGCUUCCCAAAGACCCUUGGCUAACGCGAGGUCGAAAACGAGAACGAGAGAAAUAUGUAAAGAUGUCAAUAUAGUCGAUCUCUCUCUCUCUUACGCACACAAUGUUGCUAUCGAUCUUUCUUUGUUCAAUUGAACCUUAGGGAUAUUUUUAGUACUAAAUCUGAGAAUCGUCUAUCCCCUUUGCCAAAAAUGGAGAUGGCUUUUCUUUAUGGUGUAGCUGCUGAUAUAUUUUUUUGGGGUCUACCUUUAUUUUAG